rnacentral:tRNA from 1 species
GCCUGGGUGGCUCAGUCGGUUGAGCAUCUGAUUCUUGGUUUCAGCUCAGAUCAUGAUCCCAGGGUUGUGGGAUCAAGCCCCACAUCCGGCU